GGCUAAUUGUCACUGAUGUUGAGAGUCAGAAUUCUGGGUUCCUUCUCUGACACCCCUUCUUCUGGGAGUGUGGCCCCUGCCUUACAGCCUGACAAGGAAGGAAACUCAGGCUCUUCCCUCAGCAUUGCUGACGUAGGGCCACGCUAUCUCGCAUGGGCAGUGCCUGGUCUUCAGAAGCUUCUGAGCUAAAGCUAGGAGCACAGUGGCCUGUAGGACCCUGAUCUCCCUUGAGGGACAGCAGAAGGCCUCUGCCACAGCAGAGUGAGUACUACUCACCUUCUUCGUGUUACGCAGCUUCUUAAAUCACUUUUUGGAAAUGAUUCCUCUUGGGGAAGGAGACAGAAAAUUUCCUGUGCAGAACAUUUUCUGUAACAAUUUUCCACAGUUCACAGUGAAACUCCUAAGAAGAGCAUUGUAUGAAUAAAUGGGUUCGAAGAAACCAGCUGCCCAAAACUGCUCACAAGUUAGAAUCUCCUUCCUCCCUACCGCUCUGCUUCACUGAUGGAUAGUUUUCUUAUAAAGAAACAUACAUGUUUUCUUAAUUAGUUGAUUGAUUUCCUAAUUACUCAAAUAAAAACCAAGUGAACUCCUA